CACGUAGGGCGCAAGCGUUGUCCGGAAUUAUUGGGCGUAAAGAGCUCGUAGGCGGUCUGUUGCGUCCGCUGUGAAAACCCGGGGCUUAACCCCUGGCUUGCAGUGGAUACGGACAGACUAGAGGUAGGUAGGGGAGAAUGGAAUUCCCGGUGUAGCGGUGAAAUGCGCAGAUAUCAGGAGGAACACCAGCGGCGAAGGCGGCGCUCUGGGCCGGUACUGACGCUGAGGAGCGAAAGCGUGGGUAGCAAACAGG
rnacentral:rRNA from 1 species